GAGUUUGAUUAUGGCUCAGGAUGAACGCUGGCGGCGUGCUUAACACAUGCAAGUCGAACGGGCGAAUUAUAUCGGAGGUCUUCGGGCCGAAGAGAUAAUAAGCUAGUGGCGGACGGGUGCGUAACGUGUGGGUAAUCUGCCUUUGUCAUAGGAAUAACUGCUUGAAAAAGUAGCUAAUACCAAAUAACAUAUCGUAUAGGCAUCUAUAAGAUAUCAAAGAGAAAUCGGACAAAGAUGAGCCCGCAUCUGAUUAGCUGGUUGGUAGGGUAAAAGCCUACCAAGGCGACGAUCAGUAGCCGGCCUGAGAGGGUGAACGGCCACAUUGGAACUGAGACACGGUCCAAACUCCUACGGGAGGCAGCAGUGGGGAAUAUUGCACAAUGGGGGGAACCCUGAUGCAGCAACGCCGCGUGAGUGAAGAAGGCUUUCGAGUCGUAAAACUCUGUUGUAAGGGAAGAUAAUGACG
rnacentral:rRNA from 1 species